UACGAAGGGGGCUAGCGUUGCUCGGAAUUAUUGGGCGUAAAGAGUCCGUAGGUGGUUCAGCAAGUCUAUUGUCAAAGGUCGGAGCUUAACUCCGGAAAGGCAGUGGAAACUGUUGAACUAGAGUAUGGUAGGGGUAGAGGGAAUUCCCAGUGUAGCGGUGAAAUGCGUAGAUAUUGGGAAGAACACCGGUGGCGAAAGCGCUCUACUGGACCAUAACUGACACUGAGGGAC
rnacentral:rRNA from 1 species